CAAAGAUGGCUUUCACGCUUGACGCCGUGAUCGAAGCGAUCAGCAAUGAAAUGGAAUAUCAUCAGAUGAAGAAGAAGACUUGGACAGACGUUUGGUGAUGUCAGAUAGCGACCCAAGGCAAGUAUCAAAGGUUUGAACCGAUAUCAAAAUGUGUGAGCGUCAUGUUGCACACGUGUCAUAAGUGGGCAUUUAAAAAAUUAAUUUAUGCAUUUUUGUUUAUAUGAAGUAAAAUAAUACCAUGUAUCAGUAUGUUUAUAGUAUUUUAUUUUUUUAUAGUGAUGAAGAACCUGCUGAUGAAGAAGAUGAUGAUUUUGAAGCAGAUGAUGAGGAUCCAGAUUGGGAGGAGGAUGGUGAUUUAGGGGAGAGUAGUGGUGGUAGGGGCCGAUCCCCAAUUAGGAGACGGGCUGACUCCCCUAAUGGUACUUCUGGCAAUAGGGGAAGGGGCAAUAGGGGAAGGGGCAAUAGAGGAAGGGGCAGUAGGGCCAGGGGCGGUAGGGCCAGGGGCGGUAGGGCUAGGGGUGGUAGGGCCAGGGGUGGAAGGGCCAGGGGUGGAAGGGCUAGGGAUACCGGGGCCAACAGUAGUAGUAAAUCUUAUGAUGAUGCGGACAUUAGGAAUACCCUCCCUCCCUUUCAACCAAGCCGUCCGCCAGGAAUUCAUUUUGAUAGGCAUGUCUUGCGGGGAGGAAUGACAACUGAAUUAGAAUUUUUUUGUCUCUUCUUCACCACCGAGAUGAUAAAAUCAGUUGUUGCCCACACCAACAGCUACGCAUUCAUGAGACUUGUAGCUGGGG
rnacentral:lncRNA from 1 species